rnacentral:rRNA from 1 species
GAACGAACGCUGGCGGCAGGCCUAACACAUGCAAGUCGAGCGAUCCCUUCGGGGAUAGCGGCGGACGGGUUAGUAACGCGUGGGAAUAUGCCCAAAGGUACGGAAUAGCCUCUGGAAACGGAGAUUAAUACCGUAUGUGCCCUUCGGGGGAAAAGAUUUAUCGCCUUUGGAUUAGCCCGCGUUGGAUUAGGUAGUUGGUGGGGUAAUGGCCUACCAGCCUACGAUCCAUAGCUGGUUUUGAGAGGAU